CCUACGGGAGGCAGCAGUGGGGGAUAUUGCACAAUGGGGGAAACCCUGAUGCAGCGACGCCGCGUGUGGGAAGACGGUCUUCUGGAUUGUAAACCACUGUCCCCAGGGACGAAAAUGACGGUACCUGGGGAGGAAGCUCCGGCUAACUACGUGCCAGCAGCCGCGGUAAUACGUAGGGAGCAAGCGUUGUCCGGAAUUACUGGGUGUAAAGGGAGCGUAGGCGGGGAUGCAAGUUGGGUGUCAAAACUACCGGCUCAACCGAUAGUCGCACUCAAAACUGCAGCUCUUGAGUGAAGUAGAGGCAGACGGAAUUCCUAGUGUAGCGGUGAAAUGCGUAGAUAUUAGGAGGAACACCAGUGGCGAAGGCGGCCUGCUGGACGAUGACUGACGUUGAGGCUCGAAAGCGUGGGGAGCAAACAGGAUUAGAUACCCCUGUAGUC
rnacentral:rRNA from 1 species